rnacentral:rRNA from 1 species
GACGAACGCUGCCGGCGUGCUUAACACAUGCAAGUCGAAGGGAGGGGAGAACGGGGGAGUAACACGUGAGUCAACUGCCCUUUUCUUGGGGAUAAGCCUGGGAAAAUGGGUCUAAUACUGGAUGGGUUGGGUUGGGCUGGCGGCUUAUCAGCUUGUUGGUGGGGUGAUGGCUUACCAAUGCUUUGACGGGUAGCCGGCCUGAGAUGGUGGUCGGUCACACUGGGACUGCGAUACGGCCCAGACUCCUGCGGGAGGCAGCAGUGGGGGAUAUUGCACAAUGGACGAAAGUCUGAUGCAGCGACGUCGUGUGGGGGAUGAAGGCCUUCGGGUUGUAAACUCCUUUCGCCCGCGGAAUGGUAGUGGGUAAAGAAGCGCCGGCUAACUACGUGCCAGCAGCCGCGGUAAUAC